rnacentral:rRNA from 1 species
UACGUAGGGGGCAAGCGUUGUCCGGAAUGACUGGGCGUAAAGCGCGCGCAGGCGGUCUUUCGCGUCUGGGGUGAAAGGUCAGGGCUCAACCCUGACAUGGCCUUGGAAACGGGGAGACUUGAGGGUCGGAGAGGUCAGGGGAAUUCCACGUGUAGCGGUGAAAUGCGUAGAUAUGUGGAGGAAUACCAGUGGCGAAGGCGCCUGACUGGACGAAACCUGACGCUGAGGCGCGAAGGCGUGGGGAGCAAACAGG